rnacentral:lncRNA from 1 species
GGGUUUUGAAGAAUGAGCAGAAGCUCUGCGUCAGAUGAAGAAGAGACAGGAGGCCCUCCAAGCAAAGGAACCACUCAUGUCAAGACAUGGGGCAAAAAGAGAGGAUGUAUUUGGAGAACAGAGAGUAACCGAAGGCUAUCAUUCAAUCAGUGAUAGUCUUCAUGGAGGUUAAUAUCAAAGGCAACCUGAAUUUCCUCAGACUUCAUGAGCUGGCGGUGAAGGGUGAGAUCACACAAGCAGUAAUAACCCAGCUCUCCCUGGCUCACUGCCUUACUUACUGGCCUUCUGGUACUCAGCAAAGCUGUCCCCAUGAGUUUGGGAGUCUCCAUUCCUGUCCUUCCACUCCCCUCAAACGUCUUUCAUUCAAGGUCACGUGGUAACUUGACUCCUCUCACCACUACUUCUGUGGGAAUGCAGAGGCCAGGCCAGAGCCUGUGGGUGCUGCCCUCCCCAGAGACUUCACUAUGCCCAGCUCCAGGGAGGACUGACUGGAGGAGGGGACCAGGCAUCUCCCCUGCACUCUGGGCCCACAGCAACCCUGUAUACCAGCCCGUAUUAACCUUGCAACGCCUUCCUCCAAAAGGCUGAGACUUCAACCACAGGACCUGGGUGGUGAUCACCACAAAAUUUCUUCCUGAACGUUCUUCUCCAACAACUUCUCACAUUCAGUUAUUCAUUCAACAAACAUUGAGCAACAACCUAAUCUUCUGGGCUCUGGAGACCGAGUUAAAAAGGAGACAGCAGGCCCCUGCCCCCGCUUCCCGACAGGUCACCACAUCUUGAGUGCUAAGACUGUCAUCACAGGGUGAGGAGGGGAAAUGAGCUCAGAGGGGCAGAACCUUCUGAAAGGGCAGAAUGGUUCAAGCAUCCCGCCAAGGUCAGAAGGCGCUGGAUCCAGGGCAAAAAUGAAGACAUAAGGGACCUUAGGUGACAAGGAAGAAGCUCCCAGGCAGCAUGUGGGAUGGACCCAAGGAGAACGUCAGAGAGAAAGAGUUCAGUCUGGUGUCUCCUGAAGCAGGUUAAAAUUAAGCUCGGCAGGCUCGACGUAAAUGUGCAGACAAAGCAAAGCAGGAAGCCUCCCACACUAAAAAGGGAAGAUAAGAAUCACAGAAGCUGGGAUGGUUUUUAUUGAAGGGCAUUUCAAAGCAAAUACAGACAUCUACAGCAUAUUUGUAAAUCCUCCGUAUGUGUAUGGAAACACACACCUUCACACAUCAAAACUGGAUUUGUUCCUGAGUAACAAAACGUCCUAAGAACAAAAUGAAAGAAAACCAAAUAGCAGAAAAAUACUUCCAAUGUAUAUACCACAAAGGAUUAUUUAUCAACUCAACACACCAAGAGUUAAGAAAAUAAUGCAACAGGAACAAAGGGCAAAGGAUAUGUACUGGGAAGACCACAGAGAAAGAAAAUGCAAAUGGCUAAUAAUAUAAAAUAUUUCCUAGGUUCAAUAGUAAUCAGGGAAAGACAAAAUUACACUUUUGACCUCUUAGACUGGCAGUGACAAAGAUUAUUUGAGUGACCAAGCUUUAGUCAGGCUCCUGGAUCUUCUAGGCCCAUCUGGGCACUUCCUCGUAAAAUACAGUUUUAACAAAAGCCCUGCUAAAUUGGUUUACCGAGAACUCCCACCCUCAAUCGAGUUCCUUAGCCCUUCACCUUUCCUCAGGUGAGGGCUGAUCAUCCUGUCCUGUCUUCAGCAAGACUGCUCUAACGCUGACGUUUCCUUUUAGUAAUUUUCCAUCCACUGACACCCACUUGUAAUUUAUAGCCAAGGAGCAAGAUACACUGCUCCUUGGCUAUAAGUUAUUUUCCCUGUUACAUUCAGAGUUGAGCCCAAUCCCACUCCCCGACUACAAAAUCGAUAGCAGUGGUCCCUAUACCUAUUGCAAUGGUCCUAAAUAAAACCUGCCUUACCGUGCUUGAACAAGUGUCAUCGAAUAAUUUUUUAACAGCAAAUUGUUGGAGGUAAAGACAUUUUUAAAUGUCUUCAAUUAGUUUAGCUACUUCCACGUAAUGUUAAAAUCUCCAUCAAUUGGCUAGUUACUGUCCCUUCCUGAGAAGAAGCAGACACCAUAGCCCUGCAUACUGUGGAUUCACUCCUAAGUUGAUAUUGAUAUGAAUGAAAUAGUUAUCUCCC